GAUAGACUCGAAAGUCUAUAGUUUAGUCUGCUGCUUUAGUUUUUGUUUACUGCAAUAUUAUUCAUUUAUUAAUUGUCAUUUAAUAAGUCAAAUUAGUGCUUGAUUUUCUCAGCAAAUCAUGGCAAUUAAUGCUUGAUUCUCUUAGCAAAUCAUGGCUAAUAUAUUGUAUGUAGUGCCGUUAGUGGCCUUAGAAAUAGGAUCAAGUUGUUUCAUUCUUUUUCUAUUUAAACCUUUUGUAUUUUCAGCAGAAAAAAAAAAGAAAAAUAUCAAUUAAGAGAAAAUCUCUUUGGUUCAUUCUCACCAUAAGUAGAAUACUAUCUUGGCUUUGACUGGGACCUAUCA
rnacentral:lncRNA from 1 species